rnacentral:ncRNA from 1 species
GAAGCACAGUUUUUUCAUAGGGUUUAUCUAUGUUUCACAUAGAUAGGAAGACGGUUAAAAUCCGUCACGGUAUCCGCCGCUGUAAGAAGGACGAAAGACAUACUAAGCCACUGGGACAACCUGGGAAGGCGUGUCGAGUAGAAAGAUUUCAAGUCAGAAUACGACCUAUGAAAAUUCCUGAAAGU